AUUGAACGCUGGCGGCAAGCCUAACACAUGCAAGUCGAGCGGAUGAAGAGAGCUUGCUCUCUGAUUUAGCGGCGGACGGGUGAGUAAUGCCUAGGAAUCUGCCUGGUAGUGGGGGACAACGUUUCGAAAGGAACGCUAAUACCGCAUACGUCCUACGGGAGAAAGCAGGGGACCUUCGGGCCUUGCGCUAUCAGAUGAGCCUAGGUCGGAUUAGCUAGUAGGUGAGGUAAAGGCUCACCUAGGCGACGAUCCGUAACUGGUCUGAGAGGAUGAUCAGUCACACUGGAACUGAGACACGGUCCAGACUCCUACGGGAGGCAGCAGUGGGGAAUAUUGGACAAUGGGCGAAAGCCUGAUCCAGCCAUGCCGCGUGUGUGAAGAAGGUCUUCGGAUUGUAAAGCACUUUAAGUUGGGAGGAAGGGCAGUAAGCUAAUACCUUGCUGUUUUGACGUUACCGACAGAAUAAGCACCGGCUAACUCUGUGCCAGCCGCCGCGGUAAAAC
rnacentral:rRNA from 1 species